AACGUAGGAGACAAACGUUAUCCGGAGUUACUGGGCGUAAAGGGCGUGUAGGCGGUUUGUUAAGUCUGGCGUGAAAGCUCUCGGCUAAACCGGGAGAGGUCGUUGGAUACUGGCAAACUAGAGGACGGUAGAGGCGUGUGGAAUUCCGGGUGUAGUGGUGAAAUGCGUAGAGAUCCGGAGGAACACCAGUGGCGAAGGCGACACGCUGGGCCGUACCUGACGCUAAAGCGCGAAAGCAUGGGGAGCAAACGGG
rnacentral:rRNA from 1 species